UACAGAGGUCUCAAGCGUUGUUCGGAUUCAUUGGGCGUAAAGGGAGCGUAGGUGGCGAGGUUAGUCAGGUGUGAAAUCUCGGGGCUCAACCCCGAAACUGCACUUGAUACUGCCUUGCUAGAGUACUGGAGAGGAGAUUGGAAUUUACGGUGUAGCAGUGAAAUGCGUAGAUAUCGUAAGGAAGACCAGUGGCGAAGGCGAAUCUCUGGACAGUUACUGACACUGAGGCUCGAAGGCCAGGGGAGCAAACGGG
rnacentral:rRNA from 1 species